AUUGUUUCCUUGGAGCUAUCCAUCUCCUCUGGUUCUUUUUAUUGUUUUUGCUUUUCAAGAUAGGGUUUCCCUGUGUAGCCUUGGCUGGCUUGGAACUCACUCUGUAGACCAGGCUGACCUUGACCUCAGUGAUCUGCCUCCCUCUGCCUCUCUUAAGUGCUGGGAUUGAGAGCAUGUGCCACCACUGCCCAGCUUCUAUUGCGUUUUUGGGGGCCUAGUGCUGUGAGGUUGCUGGGUUUUGGGUACAGGCACACUGUCUUGCCUGUUCAUAUUUUGUGUUUGUUGGUGAGGUCUAAGCUUCUGGAGGUGUACUUUGUGGUGUUUGUCUUGUCUUUCUCUUCUGCAGAGGGGUGCUGUGUUUUUUGGUUGUGGUUGUCCUCUCUGGAUCCUAGGCAGGUUUGGUGGCUGCGAGGGGGUCCCAAAUUCUGCAUGUCAGUGUGUGGUAGAAAGGAGGCUGAGAGGUGCUAUGGAAAGAGCUAGAUGUUAGCUCUUCACGCAACUCAAGCUGCAUUCUUGCAGUGGGCAGAAAUUCACUUCCCAAACUUAAAAACCCUUAAGGCAUGCGAGUGGCUGGGCUUCUGCUGGCCUGGCUUCGGCCUGAUGAGCUCCAGCUGCUGAGGCCCGCCCCUAGACUUCCCUAAUGGCAGGAUAGGCUGUUUUCUAAGGGCUGUAAUGGGCUUCCCAGGCCCUCAAAGCAGAAGAGUGGCCAGGCCCUGCCCUACAGGAAAACAAAAUCCCAUCAGCCCCUAAAUUUGCCCCAAGAUCAGGACACAAAAUCCCUCCAAUCCCGGGCCACACUGGAAAGCUCCAUCCCUGCCCCUAAGACACCAACCAUAUAGAAACCCCGAACUCUGCUGAGGCCUCUUCUGAUGCUCUCCGGAGCCCAGGCAGCCACCCUAUUAGGGUUUUUCCCUCCUCUGCUAAUUUGAAUAGGAAUGACCUCCACAGACUCUGGAGUUUAAAUUCUUGGCUCAUAGGGAGUGGCACUAUUAGGGGGUGUGGCCUUGUUGGAGGAAGUGUGUCACUAUGGGGCAAGCUUUGAGGUUUCUUAUGCUCAAACGAUGCCAGUAUGGUACCCAGUCUCCUACUGCUGCCUGGUGAUCAAGAUGUAGAACUCUUCCCAAGAAGAGUUGCUACCGUGCUUCCCACCUUGAUGAUAAUGGACUAAACCUCUGAAACUGUAAGCCCCUUCUAAUUAAGUGUUUUCUUUCUAAGAGUUGCCAUGGUCAUGGUGUCUCUUCACAGCAAUAAAACCCUAACUAAGACUCCUCCCAAUAAAUUUCUUGUG
rnacentral:lncRNA from 1 species